rnacentral:rRNA from 1 species
AUGAGCAGGUUGAAGUUAGGGUAAAACCUAAUGGAGGACCGAACCAGUAUUCGUUGAAAAGACUUUGGAUGACUUGUGGCUAGCGGUGAAAUUCCAAUCGAACCUGGAGAUAGCUAGUUCUCCCCGAUAUAUCUUUAAGGAUAGCGUUGUGUGAAUUGUUGUGGAGGUAGAGCACUGAAUCUAUGAUGGCUGCACCUAGCGGUACUGAUUAGAAUUAAACUCCGAAUGCCAUAAUUUGUGCACAGCAGUCAGAACAUGGGUGAUAAGGUCCAUGCUCGUGAGGGAAACAGCCCAGAUCGUCAGCUAAGGUCCCUAAGUGUAAACUAAGUGUGUAAGGAUGUGGAACUGCACAGACAGCUAGGAUGUUGGCUUAGAAGCAGCCAUCAUUUAAAGAGUGCGUAACAGCUCACUAGUCGAGUGAUUCUGCGCCGAAAAUGUACCGGGGCUUAAGUUUACCACCGAAGCUACGGAUUGUAUGUAAAUACAGUGGUAGGGGAGCGUUCUAAAUAUGAUGAAGUCAGACUGUGAAGACUGGUGGAGUGUUUAGAAGUGAUUAUGCCGGCAUGAGUAACGUUUGGAAGUGAGAAUCUUCCAUGCCGUUUGACCAAGGUUUCCUGGGCAAGGUUCGUCCACCCAGGGUUAGUCAGGACCUAAGGCGAGGCUGAAAAGCGUAGUCGAUGGACAACAGGUUGAUAUUCCUGUACCAGUUAAUUAGUGAUGGAGUGACGAAG